AAAAAAGCAAGAGCCGCCACACCAAAACCCUAGCUCGCCUCGCGAUUCUCAUCAUUUGCUCCCAUGGAGAUCGAUCCCAAUCUCUCCUCUGUGCUUCGAAACCUGAAGGUGGACGAUCCGUGGACUCCUCCGCGGACGUGGGAGUCGAUCCCAUCCGAGAGUGGAGCCCCUCGCUCCGGCGAUCCUCGUCGCCGAUCUCGAGCUCCGAUCUAUGAUCCUGCUUCAGUUUCUGAUGCAACCUUGGUGCGUCUGGCCUUACUUGCGUUGCAAGGUGUUAAGUCUGCUAUAGUAGAAAUUGAGGAAAUCUCUUCAGCAUUUUGUUCAAGUCCGGCAGAUAGAACUUCUCAUCGGGUCCCUAAUUUAUGGUGCCGUUCAUCAAGCACAAAUGCUUUAGGACAGAUUCUCAAAUCAAUAAACCACACAGCUCUUGUGGUUUAUUUCCUUCAAAAGUUUGUGAACUUCUAUCUUUUUUCUAGUCGAAAGGUGGCUGGUGAAAGUAGAAAUAAAAUAGACGAAGACGAAGUUUCUUAUGAUAACAAUGUUGAAGUACAACCUCCUUACAGUCUAGUUAAUCAUGCAUUUUCUGUUGCAGUUAAAAAAGUUUUAGAAGGGUACUUUUGUUCCUUGAGUACUUUAUUGGCAUCAGUUAAAUUGAGACGCUUAAAUGCACCUUCUUCCAUUACCAAAGGGAAAAUUGGCAAAACAACUACUGUUUCUGAAGUUACUAUUCUGGAGGUUUAUUUACAUACCGAGGAAUUGAGAAGACUUAUUCAAUCCCUUGGAAAUAUUUGUUUUCCGAAGUUUGCAGAUCUUGACUUGUGGAGAGAGGAUUUGAACACUGAUACUAACUUUGAAUUUCACAACUUUCCGAAGGGAGCAGAUCUACUUUCAUAUUUGUAUGUUCAGUUCCGAGAUGCUGAUCCAAUUAAUUGUGAACUUAUUAAAUAUCUUUUCAUCCGUUCUUGUGAACCCUACUGUGGUUUCAUAAAGUCAUGGAUUUACCGAGCAAGUAUUGAUGAUCCUUAUGAGGAGUUUUUGGUCGCGCACUCAGACACUUUACAAACUGCAAAUGGUGCUAUAGGUUCGCGGAGUGAUUUGCCAUUAAUGCCUUCCAAGGAGCGAAGUCGUGUGUCUGUUCCUUGCUUUCUAAAAGAUGUUUGUCGCCCCCUUCUGCUAGCCGGCCUACAGCUCCAAGUGCUCGUAAGGCUUCUAAACUUGUCUGGUCUUUCCAUUGUUGGAGGAGCUCAUAUACCUCGUGAUCUGGCAAAUUUGGAGGAAAUCCUGCCGUUUUGGUUUGACUAUUCUAGCAAUUCUGCAUUUCUGUCCAACUCAAUGACUUUCUCCAAGAAGAGCAUGGAAACCAUACUUCAUAAAAGAGAAGCUAUGUACAAGACGAUGUCCGAAAAGCUUCAACUUGUUUUCUCAAAAUACAACGUGCGAUAUCAGUGGAUGGAUCAUGCUGUUAAUGCAGCUAAUUUUCUUGGUAAAAAAAAUAUGAAUUUUCCAGCAAUUUGGGUUCCCGAAGUAGACUCAUUAUUCCCUGCCACUGCCAGUGAAGAAGCAACUAUCUGUAUUAGGGCUUCGGAUCAGGAAGAUGCCAAUAAUUCUUAUGCGUCUGAUGAAUCUUCAUGUGAAGUUGAGAAAUUACAAUCGUCAGAAUGCUCUUCUUCAUGUAGUUCUACAGAAGAAACUGAGGUUGAGGAAAUUGCUAUAUUAGGUAGUAAUAUAACACAUUCAAAUUUGUCGUCAUGCUAUGCCAGCAUUAGUGGAUUCACAAACUCUAGAAAUGAAAGGCUAUAUUCUUCUCAAAAUUCUUUGUAUUCCAAUCAGAAAGAAACAAGUCCUACGAUCGCUGCACAGGUGAAUAAUGAGGAUGAGAAGCCAAAUGAGUUUUCUAUUCCCAGUCGAUCAGAUGAAAAUUAUCAAUAUGGUUGCUGCUGGCCAUUCGACCGACUUCUAAAGAAUCCUAUAAAUAGCAAUUUGCACUCUACAGAUUCUGAACAAGUGGCCUCAACUGAGGAUACUCCAUGCACAACUGCUGGGAACAUGGACUCUCUUCGAAGGGAAGAAUCCAUUUCUGGUGAAGUGCUUCUUCCCUUCAGUCUGAUUGGCUUCAUCAACGGCAAAAAUCAACCUGAGCUUCCUUGUAAACAUUAUGAUUUCAGCGCUAACCCGAUGGUGGCAAAGGCUACUUGGCGUUGUACAAACCAUGGCUCCAGAGAAAAAAGAUCCAUGAAGAACCUUUUUCCCUGCUUUGAUUUUUCAUCUGUUGCAAACCCUUGUGAGGUUUAUUCAGAAACUGUCUUUUCCAGGCCUGCUAAUGGCUCUCAAGUUGAAACUCCUUUGCUUAAGGAUUCUGGUGUUUCUACUUGUAAUGUAUAUGAAAAAUCCAAUGAUUCUGUUCAAGAUAAUACAGGAGGUCAAGCAGUUUCAAGCUUUUCGUUAUCACAGGAAGCAAAGUAUAAAGCACAGAACCUUCCAAAGAAUGCCCCUGGUGGGGCCCAUUGGGCUGGGUUGUUACGGUAUUCUGGCGAAGAUGUAAAGUGCACUGGUGAGGACAGUUGGCAUGGUGAAUAUGAGAUGCCACUUGAUGUCGCCAUUGACAAAUGCAUUGUGCAUGAAAUCUUGCUUCAGUAUAAGUAUAUCAGCAACUUCACUAUAAAGUUGCUUGAGGAAAGAUUUGAUCUGUGUGAACAUUUGUUGGCACUGCGGCGGUACCAUUUUAUGGAACUGGCAGACUGGACAGAUUCGUUCAUUAUAUGUCUUCGCCAUCAGAAAUGGUCCACUGUUGGGCCUGAUCAGAAGAUAGCGGGGAUUCAAGGGCUUCUUCAACUGGCUUUACAGAGAUCUUCAUGCGAGUCAGAUCCUUAUAAAGAAAGGUUAUUUGUUUACAUGAAAGGACUGGACAUAGUUCCUCCUCCAACUUCAUCAACUGAUUAUAAUUGCUUAGGAACUUCAAUGGCAGGUCUCAGUGUCCUUGAUUAUAUAUUGUUGGGUUACAAAGUUGAUUGGCCUAUCAGUAUUAUAAUUACUGAAGAUGCACUGAAAAUAUAUGCUGAAAUAUUUGGCUAUCUCAUUCAAGUCAGGCUUGCUGUCUUUUCAUUAACUGAUACAUGGCGCAAUAUAAAGGAGCUGCUGCAUUCAAUUCGUCGCUGCCAACAAGUGAGACCGGAAGAUGUGAAAGAUUUCAACACCUUAGUGAGAGUAAGGCAACAAAUAUAUCACUUUGUCUCUACACUACAACAGUAUGUGCAUUCUCAAUUAUCCGGUGUGUCAUGGUGUCGGUUUCAGCACUCCCUUAAGCAUCAGGUCAAGGACAUGCUCGACUUAGAAACGAUGCAUAUGUCCUAUCUGGCUGAUGCUUUGCACAUAUGCUUUUUGUCUGCUGAGACGAAGUCAAUACUUGCUAUCAUUAAAAACAUUUUACAAUGUGCUCUGGACUUGUGUUUGUGCUUUUCUGGAUUAAAUUUGGAUGAUGGAUCAAAAGCGGAUCAUCUGAACUUGCAAUCUCGAAUAAACUUUUCUCAGGUAUUUGCUAUCAAUACUAUGUUUGAGAGAAACAUUAAAGAUUUGUACCUCUUGUAUUUGAAGUCCCCAAAGUACGGGGAAUUCGGGCUUUGCCGUUUUUGGAAUCUUUUGAACUACAACGACCACUACUCUACCGCUAUGGGUAACAGCUACACAGGUUUCAUUCAUCUGUGAAAGGAUGCUCUAAAAUUAGAAUUUGAUUACUUGGCGUGUCUAUUGCAAGAACCAAGGGAUUGAACCAGAAAAAUGAAACAGGAAAGCGAAUCAUCCGUCCGGCAUUGCUAUUUGCAGAGGUGGGUAUGGCCGUAUGGGUAUGGUAUUAUUUCUCAUGCAAUGUAGUGUGGUUUAAAACUAAAGUAAGCAAAUGAUUGGUCAAAAAGAUGGACGGAGCACGAAUCAUAUCCUGAACGCAUCGCCAUGGGGGAGAAAGAAAGUGGGGGUUUUGCUCAGAGGAAACAGGGGACCUCAUUUCAAGGUAAGUUUUUUUUUUUUUUUUUUACCCCUCUUUUUUUUUUCACAAAAUUGGGAAAAGAAAAGUGAGAGAAAUUCAGCCUAUAGCUUGGAGGCAAUCAUUUGUGUUUGAUUUCCUCAUGUUUCUGGUUAACAUUAAACCCUGCAUAACAUUAACCCAGGUAUACCAAAUGUACCUACUGCAAUUGCCUAAUAAGAGAUCGGUGUGGUAGGUAUCUGGGAUCCUAAGGUCGAAGUCCAGUUACUUUGUAUUUCUAGCUGAGUUUAUUUCUAAUAAAAAAUAAAAUAAAAAA